rnacentral:rRNA from 1 species
GGCUCAGGACGAACGCUGGCGGCGUGCCUAAUACAUGCAAGUCGAACGGCUUUUCUAUGGAAGCUUGCUUCCACUGAGAAGAUAGUGGCGAACGGGUGAGUAACACGUGGGUAACCUGCCCAUAAGAGGGGGAUAACAUCCGGAAACGGGUGCUAAUACCGCAUAGUUUUCUUGAUCGCAUGAUCGGGAAAGGAAAGACGGCCUUUGUGCUGUCGCUUAUGGAUGGACCCGCGGCGUAUUAGUUAGUUGGUGAGGUAACGGCUCACCAAGACGAUGAUACGUAGCCGACCUGAGAGGUGAUCGGCCACAUUGGGACUGAGACACGGCCCAAACUCCUACGGGAGGCAGCAGUAGGGAAUCUUCCGCAAUGGACGAAAGUCUGACGGAGCAACGCCGCGUGAGUGAAGAAAAGGUUUUCGGAUCGUAAAACUCUGUUGUCAGAGAAGAACAAGUUGGAGAGUAACUGCUCCAGCCUUGACGGUAUCUGACCAGAAAGCCACGGCUAACUACGUGCCAGCCGCAGC